rnacentral:misc_RNA from 1 species
AAGUCGUAACAAGGUUUCCGUAGGUGAACCUGCGGAAGGAUCAUUAACACGUUUCCAAAUAAACGUCCCAAACUAAAACUCUGUGAACUAGAGAUCCGCUAAAGUACUCUUUUCACUCACUGUGGGGAAGAAACAGCUAGAUUUUUUCGAAAGUCUAAAAAGGAUCUCGCAUUUUUCUCUUAACAAAUAUUUAACUCCAUUAACAAAAAUGAUUCAAAUCGUCUGGUUUGGAUCUUUUUGUGUCUAUAAUAUUCUUUUUAAGAGAAUUAGGAGAAAUCCUAAUCCUUUUCUAAGGAUCUCGAACUUUUAGUUUGAGUUUCCUUAUGAACCAAAACGUUGAACAACUCUUAGCAACGGAUAUCUUGGUUCCC